UACAGAGGGUGCGAGCGUUAAUCGGAAUUACUGGGCGUAAAGCGUGCGUAGACGGCUAUCUAAGUCGGGUGUGAAAGCCCCGGGCUCAACCUGGGAAUUGCAUUCGAGACUGAAUAGCUAGGGUACGGUAGAGGGAAGCGGAAUUUCCGGUGUAGCGGUGAAAUGCGUAGAUAUCGGAAGGAACAUCAGUGGCGAAGGCGGCUCUCUGGGACGGUACUGACGCUGAGACGCGAAAGCGUGGGGAGCGAACAGG
rnacentral:rRNA from 1 species